rnacentral:piRNA from 1 species
UNUAAGCCCUUCCUCACCAAAAACUCCUGGU